UGAGAGGGGAAACCAUGAAUAAGACACUCAUUUUUCUUUUCAUACUGUCUCUCAGCCUAUCAAGGACUACUGGUGACAGGCCUAAUGCGACCUUCAAGCACCUUAUUAAUUAUCUGGAGAAGUUUCAACAUGAAACCAUCAAUGUUACUUCAAAUACCAGUCACAAUCGACAAGGGAUUUAUUGGACUUGUGAUACUUCCAUAGAGAUCUUUGAAGAGCUGAAUGCAGUCCUGGACAAGAUCAAUGGAGAUGGACUCUCUCAAAACAAACAUCAAGAACUGAAGGGAAUGAAGGAAAAUUUAAAAAUAGUAAUUGAGAAGUUUUCCCUGCAACCUGUACAGGAGGAAAAAAAGUGUUAUUCCAAAUAUUCCAGAAAGCCUUUGGGAUGGUACUACAAAAUGCUACAGUGCUUUAACCGUUCCUGCAGUGUUACUUCAAAGCAAAGUUAACUUAUUAUUCUCACUUACUGUAUAUGAAAUGACUAUUUAUUAUGAACAUGUUAUUUAUUACCCUGUAGAACAGGAUAAAGCGGCUAGAGAUAAUGAGAUGAGAUGUUAUUUAUUUAAUUCCACAUAUUUAUUUGUAUUUAUUUGUAACUUAAAAAUUUUAAAUUAUAUUUCUGCAGACAUGCACUGUCUUUGUUGAAUGUAAAAAAACAAGCAAGAAUGCAAUUUCUGUUUGAAGUGUUUUAUUAUAAUACAGCAUAUCCAGUGUUUACAGACAGAAUGGUGAGGCUAGACUUUUUAUUUCUGAGACUUAACUCAGCUGACUAUGGUCACCAUAGAAAAUUAAUUUUAUUAUGACAAGCCACUGUUUUCUUGAUACUGAAUUGAUUCAAUAGAUGCAUAAUUCUACAUUAAAAACAAUGAAUGUUGUAUACUUCUAUCACCUCUUAUAAGAGUCAAUAAAAUUUUUAUUAAUGUA